rnacentral:rRNA from 1 species
GUGGGGAAUCUUGCGCAAUGGGCGAAAGCCUGACGCAGCCAUGCCGCGUGAAUGAUGAAAGUCUUAGGAUUGUAAAAUUCUUUCACCGGGGACGAUAAUGACGGUACCCGGAGAAGAAGCCCCGGCUAACUUCGUGCCAGCAGCCGCGGUAAUACGAAGGGGGCUAGCGUUGCUCGGAAUUACUGGGCGUAAAGGGCGCGUAGGCGGACAGUUUAGUCAGAGGUGAAAGCCCAGGGCUCAACCUUGGAAUUGCCUUUGAUACUGGCUGUCUUGAGUACGGGAGAGGUGAGUGGAACUCCGAGUGUAGAGGUGAAAUUCGUAGAUAUUCGGAAGAACACCAGUGGCGAAGGCGACUCACUGGCCCGUUACUGACGCUGAGGCGCGAAAGCGUGGGGAGCAAACAGGAUUAGAUACCCCUGUAGUCC